UCAUGUUUUUUAGCUCACAGAUUCUUGCACAGCCUCACUAUUUGAAGAAAGUUCAUUCUGAAAAUCUGAAGCAGUUAAUGGGUAAAUAUGAUCAGUUAUCUCCACCAGGUUCUCAGCCUGAGAAGGGUAAGCUUUUGUUCACCUCAUCAUCCUCAUCUGUGCCCUCUGCAGUGUUUGGGGACCAGCUUCUUUCACUUAGUAUAGCAUCCUCCUGUUCCUCUACGACAUAUUAUGUAUCAGUACUGCAUUCCUUUUUAUCGUUGAAUAAUAUUCCAUUGUAUGAAUGUACCACAUUUUGUUUUAGUUGAUGGAAAUUGGGAUUGUUCCCACUUUGUAUCACUGAUAGUAUUUAUUCCAUUAUACAAGUCGUAACACCAUUUAGCUUAUCCAUUCACCUAUUAAUGACAUUUUCUUUCUUUCUGGAGCUGUUACAAAUGAAAUUACUGUAAACAUUGAUGUCCAAGCCUUUGUGUAGACAUAGAUCUCCUUUUCUUUGGAGUAGAUAUCUAGGAGUGAUAUACACUGGAUCAUUUGGUAAAUGUAUGUGUGACUUCUUAAGAAACUGCCUGUGAUGGUUUGGAUGUGAGGUGUCCCCCCAAAGCUCAUGUGUGAGACAAUGCAAAGAGGCUUAGAGGAUCAUGAGAGUCUUACCUAGUCAGUGAACUACUCCCUGAUGGGAUGAGCUGUGUGGUAGGGUGUGGCUGGGAAGGUGGGAGAUGGGAGGUGGGCGUGCCCUUGGGGUAUAUUUUUGCACCUGGUGAGUGGAGUCUCUGCUUCCUGACAUAAUUCCUGAGCCCCUUCCUCCGCCACACUCUUGCAGCCUCACCUUGUGCCCUGAGGAAGGAGCCAGCUGUCUGUGGACUGAGACCUCUGAAAACGUGAGCCCCCAAUUACACUUUUUCUCCUUAAAAUUGCUCUUGCCAGGUCUUUUGGUCACAGCAACCAAAAAGCUGACUGAAGCUCUGCCAGACAAGUGAGUUGCGGUAGCCACGCCUGUGGUCCCAAUGGACCAGGCUGAAGCAGGAGGAUCACAAGUUCAAGGCCUGCCUGGGCAACUUAAUCCUGUCUCGAAAUAUAAAAUAAAAAGGACUUGGGGGGCUGGGGCUGGGGCUGAGCAGUAGAGCACUCACCUAGCAUGUUCGAGGCCCUGGGUCUGAUCCUCGGCACCACACAAAAAUAAAUAAAAUAAAGAUAUUGUUUAUCUACUACAACUGAAAAAUAAAUUUUAAAAAAAGGACUGCAAGAUUAUGUAGCUCUGUGGUAGAACACCUGUGGGCUUAGCCCCAAUGCCUGAUUUCAAAGUGGUGGUGCCCUUUUCUACCCCUCAGCCCCUCCCAGGAGCUCCAGCUGUCCACUCUCAUGAGAGGGGGACUCCAGUCUUCACUUCAGGCCAUCUUUACUUCAGGCCUCCUGGAGGGUGGGGAUGGCUCCCUGUGGUUUCACUUCACGUUUCCUUUUUCUUUCCUUUUUUUUUUUUUUUUAAUAAUACUAGGGAUUGAACUGAGGGAUAUGUGCUUUACCACUGGACUACAUCACUAGCCCUUUUUAGUGUUUGAGACAGAGUCUUGCUAAGUUGCUUAGUGCCUCACCAAGUUGCUGAGGCUAGCCUCAAACUUGUGAUCCUCCUGCCUCAGCCUCCCAAGUCCCUGGGAUUACAGGCGUGGGCCACUGCGCCAGCUUAGUUCACAUUUUCUUUUUAUUUUUUUUUCCUGUGUUUUUUAUUGGUGCAUUAUAGUGGUUCAUAAUGGUGGGGUUUGUCUUUACAUAGUUUACAUUUUCUUGAUGAUAAUGAUCUUCAACAUCUUUUCAUGUGUUUAUUGGCCAUUUCUAUUUAUUCUUUUCAGAAAUAUUUCUUAAAAUAUUUUGCCUAUAUUUAACCAUUUGUUAUUUUAUUAUUAUCCUAGUCAGAAUUUUUGUGCUAUUUACAUGGAAUAGGAGCUGAUUUUUGUAACUCAUCCAAUUGGGUUUCAUUUAGAUAAAAGUGGAUUUCAUUGGCAAGAGAAGAGCUGGUCAGCAGUGACUCUAGAGUGCUGUGCGGCUUGUUCUUGUGAAAGGGGAAACGCAGCUCUGCACAGGUUUGCUGCUGCCUCCUGCCUUACAGGUGAAACCUCACCGAUAGCACCCAGGGCAUUAUCAUUCCCUAGUGCACUUUCUGCUGUAUUGGUACUUAAUCAGGGCUUGAGGUAGGAGAAGAGAGAGAAUCAGCAAUCCUGUUGCUUGUCCCCUCUCCCCUGCAAAAAGAAUCUGACAAGCAAGCAGAAACAGCAUGAAUUACACACAGCCAAGCAGGCCUGAGAUGCAGCUACCUGGAGGCCAGGGCAGGAGACCACAGGGUGGGGCCGCCUGCAGCCUGGUGAACCCUGUCUCAGUGAAAACAGACUAGGGCUGGGCACGUGGCUCAGUGUGAGAACGCCUGCCUCCUCGCCUGCUCAGGCCCUGUGCUCCAUCGCCAGGACCACAGACAAUCCCCUCCUACGUUCCUCCUGACACUCUCUACACCAGGUAUCCCCAAGUGCCGUCUACUCGGUUUCCUCCCUCAGCCCUCACAUCAGUACUUUGAGAGAACAAACCAGAAGGUAUUCUAGAAUGCUUUUCCCACCAAUCAGAAGUAACGGAAUGAAACCAUAGCGCUGGGCAGGAGAAACAGAACUCUGUUCCCUCAUAUGCCUUCAUGCCCUAUACCCGAGUAGUUUUCGUCUUAGAGCUGAAUUUCUGAUUUCCAGCAUCCCC
rnacentral:lncRNA from 1 species